GUGGGUCAGUGUGGGGAGUUGAAGUGGGUCAGGUUGAAGUGGGUCAGUGUGGAGAGUUGAAGUGGGUCAGGUUGAAGUGGGUCAGGGUGGGGAGUUGAAGUGGGUCAGGUUGAAGUGGGUCAGGUUGAAGUGGGUCAGGUUGAAGUGGGUCAGGUUGAAGUGGGUCAGUGUGGAGAGUUGAAGUGGGUCAGGUUGAAGUGGGUCAGGGUGGAGAGUUGAAGUGGGU